rnacentral:lncRNA from 1 species
AUGAGUGACAUGAAGCAUUUAGUGGCAACAUAUAUGCAAGCAAAAUGGAAAAGCAUGACCUCUGGUAAUGAGACUUGGAUCUCCUCUCUAAGAAGCAGUUCCUGUCUCUUCAAAUAUGUAGAACAUCAAGAUCUAAGAAGAGCUGCAUCCCCAGGGGCCCCAUGCAGGGCUAUGAAUAUUUGGCUUCUAAAAUUCUAACAGCUGUUACUGAACCAGGUUAGUUUUGCCCACCACGUGAUGUAUGCGAAUCACUGAGAUGACGAGUUUGCAGCAGAGAAAGGGUUUAUUCACAAGGCAACCAAGCAAGGAGAUGAGAGAACAAACCUCAAAUCUGCCUCUCUGAAACAUAUGGAUUAGGGAUAUUUAUAGGAUAAAGGGGCAAGACAGUCUGAAGUGUGGCAAUAGAUAAUUGGAGGUAGGGAGAAGUGAGGUAAUUGAUGAUCUGAGGAAGAGUAGUCAAGCUUCAUGGUUCUUCAUAGGAUAAUCGUUCACAAAAUGGUGGCAUUAAUAUGAUCUGAGAGUGGAGUUUUUGGCUCCCUGACAUCGGGAGGUCACCUAUUGGACACUGGUGCAGGCCCAACUAGUGGGUUGGGGUCUCCCACAGCCUGAACCAGACAGGGGUCGACUCUUAGUUCCUAAACCACAACUCAGGCAUCCAUUACCAUGGUGACCCAAGCAUCAGGGAGAUGUUAUCUAUGAGGAACCUAGUGGGAAUCACAUAAUAUAUUGCCUACCUGCUUGUCUUUAAAAAACAAGCAGCACAGCUAACAGUUAGUGGGUAAACAAGUAAAGACUACAAUUAAUAAUCGCCAAAACGACACUUUAGUUACUAGCUACCUAAUCAUUAACGGCUAACUGUCUGCCAGUUCCACAGUGAUUUGGGAUUCACUGAAAGAUUAACAUGCUGCAGAUACUCCAUGUUCCUCAGAAUAUGUAGUGACCAUCCUCUCUUCACUGUGGUCACUCAAUGAAGGUUAUGUAGAGGUUUUGCCUUGUGCCCUUUUAUAACUUUUUCCAAAUUUUCUCUCUAAAUUUCCUAUAAAAACUACCCUUAAAAAGUGCACAUUGUAUAGUAAUUAAGAGUAUGAACUUUGAAACCAAUCAUACCUAUUUUGCCUUACUAUUAUGCCAUUUAC